rnacentral:lncRNA from 1 species
GACAGACUAUUUCAUUUAUUCCUUAAUGAUUUAUAUUUAUGCUUCUUCCAGUUUUUGGUGUUACACAGCACAUCAAUAAUCAUCUUGUAUAUAUAUCGUUGUGUAUAUAUACAAGUAGAUCUACAGUAUAAAUUCUUGGAGCUGGGGACUGCUGAAUCAAAAGAUAUAUGGAUUCUAGAAGCUGAUAUAUAUUGCCAUGUGUCUCAUCAAACUGGUUGCAGAAAAGAGGGUUGCUUACAGACAGGACUGGAAGCCCCUAAGGCCACAUGCCUAGUUCACAUUUUGCUCCUGGUACCCUGUGCUCCUCAGGUGGGACUUCCUGCUGGCAAACUAACAGACACCUUAGUUCUUCCUAGGAGAGGCCUCGUGUGCACAUAAGGUCAGACAUAUUUUCAUGCCACCUCGAGGGAAUAUCCAGGAUGAUAAACGCUGUCUCCCAGGCCUCCCCGCAAAGUAAAAGGAAAUCCAUAAUAUAUAAAAUAAAAAGUUGACAUUAAAUCAACAAAAAGAUCUUGUGGGUUUGCUUGCCUUGUUUUACAUGGUUUGGGUGAAUUCUCUCCCACCUCCUCAUCCUGCCAGGGCUUCAGGGAUAUGUGGUCUUUCACUUCCUUGAAAUAGUUAAUCUUUGCAACCAAUGUUCCAAAUGGGAGGCUUAAGCUGGGGAUCAGCUCACUCUGUGAGUAGGUCAUUUAAGAGCUCAGUCUCAUCUUUGAAAUAUAGAUUAGCCAGGAGAGUAUGAGUUCAGCAUUUCUAUGUAAUGUUGUUUCAUUGAUCCUGCAGGCCAACUGGACAUGGCUUCAGAUGGAUACCUAAAAAUUAGUUUUAAAACUUUCCCAUCUUUUAAUAUUUUAUAACCUGUCAGAAAAUCAAUUAUGGACUCUGCCCCCUUUCAAUGCCUGGUUUCAUAGGAGCUGAUGUUUAACCAAAGUGAAUUUCUUUCCUCUCCUUUACAAAAAGCAAUGGAAAAGUUCAGAGUGAAUGAUGACUUCAGGGAAAUUCUUGGAUUUGUAAAGAUUUAGAGAUGAAUUGAAUAGCUUUGACCUGCCAAGUCCAGAGCUUGAGUUUCUCUCUCAUGCAAAAGCCACAGAUGGGCUUUGCUAGACACUGUGAAAGAUCAGGGAUCCAGAGGUUAGUGCUAUGGGGAUCCAGCCAUAAUUUGAACUUGUCAAAUAUCUUCAAGCCCAGUGAAUCACAAAGGGCUUUCUCCAAAACCCACACCUCCUCUUGUGCACUUGCAUACACAUGGAGCAUCAUCUUUUAAGUUUAAAAAUAUUUUUCCACUUUUUUGUAGUAGGGGAAGAUUUCAAGGAAAGAAAAAUAUGAGGAAACAUGCCAGUGAUUUUUAUUGUCUUGUCUUUUCAGUAUUCUAUACGAUUUCUAAUAUGAAAAUGCAUUGAUGUUAUAAGAAAAAAUUGUUUUUCAUGAAUAAAUAAAUAAAAUCCUUAAAAAAAAGAAAAAAAUUGUUUUAAAUAACAACUUAGGUAAAGUCACACCAACAUAACACCAAGAAUCGAUGGUAAAAGGAAGUAGAAUUAAUUCUGACACCAGUUCAACAGUGAACUUUGCAGCUGCCACACCAUGGGAGUUCUUAAAGAUGGCACACAUGCACCAAUCACUACUGCAUGGCCAUAUUCAUCACAAUGAACUAUAGUUUGUCCCAUGAAAAUAGGUGUGUGAAGUAUCCACAUUUCAGAAUUGGGAGAAAGGAGUGAGGAAAGGGUGAAGGGAGGGACUUGGAAGAAUGAUAGUGGGAAGGAUAAAAAGAAGGAUAAAAAGGAUAAAAAGAAGAGGAGAUGAAGGAUAAAAAGGAUAAAAAGAAGAGGAGAUGAAGAGUCAGAUGAAGAAAGUGAAUUGAGUCACAUGGCUGUGGAAUUGAUAAAGUGGGGUUCUGGGGACAUCCCAGCUCUCUGCACACCCUCGUGUAUGGCAGUAAGUAGCAGUGGCAGUACCAUACCCCUCAUCCUUGGUAAGAGCUAGGACGUAACUGAAUGUUAUUCUUUUUUUUUUUUUUAAGGUUUUAUUUAUUUAUUCAUGAGAGACACACAGAGAGAGGCAGAAACAUAGGCAGGGGGGAGAAACAGGCUCCCUGUGGGAAGCCUGAUAUGGGACUCAAUCCCAGGAUCCGGGAUCACGACCAGAGCCAAAGGUAGACUCUCAACCAUUGAGCCACCCAGGUGCCUAAAUGUUAUUUUUUAAAUAGAAGUAAAAUACUCACUGACUUUAUUACACUGAUGUAAAUAACCAGAAGAAGCCUGAAAGAAAAACACAUGUAGCUACCUUUGGCCACAGCUCACAGAAUAGGGACACCAACUCCCUGCCUCUCUUUCCACUUUCUAGCAACUCAUAGCCUGAACACCAAUAGCCAACUGUCUAGCCACCAGUAGGGUCUUUCUGAUAUUCCAGAAAGGGCUGUCUUGGGAGAAAGAGGAUGUGUUUGGCCCAGGGCACAGGGAGAGUAAAAUGGUUGUUGGUAGAAGGCACCUGGGGUGGGGUUUUGGGGUGGGACAUAUGCUGAAUCACAGUGAACUUGAGUUUACCUAACAGAUUAACAGAGUAUGUUCAAUUUGUGCUUUGUAACCUAUCUGUCUGGUUGGUACUGAGAACUCAAGUUAUUUCUUGCUUAUUCCAUUUGCCAAAUUUGUCAGGUCCCCAAAAUGUGUCAUCAGGUAAAUGAACCCAGCUUGUUUCUUUUCACUAGAUAGAAGGAACCAUAUUCUUUUCUUUACUUUUGUUUUAAAGAUUUAUUAUUAUUAUUAUUAGUUUUUUUAGAGAGACAGCAAGCAAGAGGAGGGGCAGAGGGAGGGAGAGAGAAUCUUAAGCAAGCUCCACACCCAGCCCAAGCCCAAUUCCAUGCUUGAUCCCACCACUCUGAGAUCAUGACCUGAGCUGAAACCAAGUCAGAUGCUUAACUGACUGAGCCACCCAGGUGCCCCUUGGAAGGAACCAUAUUAUUUUCUUAUUCCCGUUUGGCAUUGACAUUUUACCUUGUUUGGGGGAAAUGUCUAAAUAUCCUCCUACUUGUUAGUUAUAGAGGUGCCUUAACAUCAUCCUCAUUUUUUUUUUUAAGAUUUUAUUUAUUUAUUCAUGAGAGACACACAGAAAGAGGCAGAGACAUAAUCAGAGGGAGAAGCAGGCUCCCUGCGGGGAGCCCGAUGCAGGACUCAAUCCCAGGACCCCAGGAUCACGCCCUGAGCUGAAGCCAGAUGCUCAACCACUGAGCCUCCCAGGCGUCCCUCAGCCUCACUUUCAAACCCACCUCUACCAGCAGUGGGAUCUUGAGCAAGUUUACGUACCUCUAGUUCCCUCACCUCCAAAAUACAGAAGAUGAUAACAGAACCUAUUUCAUGAAGUUGUUGCAGGGAUUACCCAUGUUAAUGAAUGUAAAGCAUUUAGAAAAAUACCCAGUGUGAGUUUAGUGCUCUGUGUUCAGUAUUAUCAUUUCAAUCAUCAAACAUAUUUUUGGUACCUGUGAUGUGCCAGGCACCAUGCUGAACACCAGAGAUAGAAAAAUGAGAAUGUCUUUGGAGUUUAUAUUCCAGUGGAGGAAUAAUAAAUCAUAACAAAAGUAAUAAUAACACUAGCAGCUAAUAUUUAUUGGAAGUAUAAUAUGCAUAAUCUAAUCUGAUCCUCAUAAUAACCUUAAAAGACUCGUAAGAAUAUUAUUUAUAGGAGAGGAAUCGACAGGCUUAAAAAGGUCAGCUACCUUGAUCACACAACACGGCCGGUGAGUGGCAGAGCCAGGGCUAGAACCAGCCCACCUGGCUCCCAAGUUCUAAGUUCUAACCAUGCCUUUCUUUCAUUUUAGUAGAAUGUGGGCUACUUUCAAGUAAUAGUCAUGAUCCACUUUGUCCCUUCAAAGAAUCAUCACUUGCCUCCCACUUCUUUUAUGCCAGGCACUGAGUUUUUUGGUAGCCACUCAUUUAACAUGAUAAAAUUCAACUAUCCAGUGUAAAACACUUUCCCC